AGAGUUUGAUCAUGGCUCAGGACGAACGCUGGCGGUGCGCCUUAUGCAUGCAAGUCGAGCGAAGCUUUUCAGUAGUUUACUACAGAAAAUGACUGAGCGGCGAACGGGUGAGUAACGCGUGAGCAAUCUACCUUAGUUACAGGGAUAGCCCGAGGAAACUCGGAUUAAUACCUGAUAUUCUUUAUUUCUCGCAUGAGAAUAAAAGGAAAGGUCAGCCGAACUAAGAUGAGCUCGCGUUCUAUCAGCUAGUUGGUGAGGUAAAAGCUUACCAAGGCUACGACGGAUAGCUGGUCUGAGAGGACGAUCAGCCACACUGGGACUGAGACACGGCCCAGACUCCUACGGGAGGCUGCAGCAGGGAAUAUUGUGCAAUGAACGAAAGUUUGACACAGCGACACCGCGUGUGGGAUGACGGAUCUAGGUUUGUAAACCACUUUCAGGAGGGAAGAAAAUGACGGUACCUCCACAAGAAGCCCCGGCCAACUACGUGCCAGCAGCCGCGGUAAUACGUAGGGGGCGAGCGUUGUCUGGAUUUAUUGGGCGUAAAGAGCUCGUAGGCGGUUCANCAAGUCGGUCGUGAAAGUUCAGGGCUCAACCCUGAAAUGUCGAUCGAUACUGUUGUGACUAGGAUACGGUAGAGGUGAGUGGAAUUCCGAGUGUAGCGGUGAAAUGCGUAGAUAUUCGGAGGAACA
rnacentral:rRNA from 1 species